rnacentral:rRNA from 1 species
UGGCGGACGGGUGAGUAAUGUCUGGGAAACUGCCCGAUGGAGGGGGAUAACUACUGGAAACGGUAGCUAAUACCGCAUAACGUCGCAAGACCAAAGAGGGGGACCUUCGGGCCUCUUGCCAUCGGAUGUGCCCAGAUGGGAUUAGCUAGUAGGUGGGGUAACGGCUCACCUAGGCGACGAUCCCUAGCUGGUCUGAGAGGAUGACCAGCCACACUGGAACUGAGCACGGUCCAG